AGAGCCAGCUGGUUCAGCAUAUGCUUCCUGAAUUCAGAAGAUGCCCUCCCUGCCUUUCCUUACCAGUGGGUUGGUGUAGUUAAACUACUCUGAGACAAGCCUCCUCCCUCUCCACUUUCGAAGUAUUUCAUGGACAGCUUGAGGCCAAUUCCAAACAGAAGGUACCCAACUGUUAUUACUUUCCUGGAAGAAACCCUCAGAGCAGAACUAAAUACCCGGUGGAGCUCAGAGCCAGCAAAUCCUAGAUGACCUGCCAAGCAAAGAUAGUACACCCAAGAGGAAGGAGAAUAAGGGUGCCAUUAAGAAGGGAAAUGGCAUUUCAUCCUGAUAGGCAUUAAUCCCAUCAUCCAUGUAUGUUCCCUGUGUGAAUGACUGUACAAACUCACUCUAUCUUGUUGCUCUCAUGAUAAGU